UAGUAGUGUGACAUGCUCGUUUGGGAUUUACUGUGAUGUAUGUGUAUUUAUUAAUAAAUUAUUUUUGGGUAACGGGGUGUUACAAUUGG
rnacentral:pre_miRNA from 1 species